UACGUAGGGUGCGAGCGUUAAUCGGAAUUACUGGGCGUAAAGCGUGCGCAGGCGGUGAUGUAAGACAGUUGUGAAAUCCCCGGGCUCAACCUGGGAACUGCAUCUGUGACUGCAUUGCUGGAGUGCGGCAGAGGGGGAUGGAAUUCCGCGUGUAGCAGUGAAAUGCGUAGAGAUGUGGAGGAACACCGAUGGCGAAGGCAGCCCCCUGGGCUAACACUGACGCUCAUGCACGAAAGCGUGGGGAGCAAACAGG
rnacentral:rRNA from 1 species